GGGUGCUUUGCUAUAAAUCACAGCAAGGGAGAGGUAAAGGCUUUUGUUUCUCUGCUCAUCAGUGGCCCUCCCCAGCCUCUGUCCUCCCUUUGCAAAAAUCGCUGGAGGUCCCGGGAGGAAACCAUCCCAGUGGGCCUUUUGAGUAGAGGCUGAGCACCACAGAACAACCUGCAUGAAACAAUGAGCUCAUGUAUCUGUCAGCACAGCCUCCACGUCCAACUUCCACGCACGUGUGCGCGUGUUGACAGCAUGGUCCUGUUCUUGGAGCCCUUUGGAGACGUGUCUGACACAUGCAGAAUCACCACCCGCAGUAUCUUCCAUACAUUCAGUGGCCUGGGUGAGCAGGUGGCUUGGAAGGCAAGCAGCCAGCUGAUAGGAACUUUUCUGUGCAGCCAAACAUGCAGGAGAAACCCCCCAAACAGCCAAACCAGCAGGAGGAACCACUUCUGAUAAUGCUGAGCCAGCUGAGCAGAUAUGUGCUGCGGCUUUGUAUUGCUGCUAACUUGUGCUCAUUGUCACUGAUCAGGGACAUUGCUACUGGGAUCUUGUGUUUGGAAUAAAACUAACCCGAAGGCUUCUGCACAGACUCACCGCGCAAAGCCUGCGAGGCCUUAGCAGACCAUAGGCAUGACCCAGGCUGACCUUCUGUGUAAUUCAGGCCCAAGAUCCCCACAAACCCUUUGUGAGCCUGCUCAUGCAGGGCAGCACACAUGCAGAUACAGCUAAGAGAUGUCAACAAUUUGCAAUUGUUCCCAGAUGGUUUUGUUUAACUUCUGCUUAACAGCUACCAAAACUUGCUGUAACUUCACCUGUUGGUGUCACAGCCUCUCCUGGAGGUUUUGUAAUCAAAUCACCUCUCAGCCUUUUCUUGAAUGAGCUCGCUAAUGGAGCAUCCUGAACCUCUUUUUGUGGGUCCUUUGGUUCCUGCUUCACAUCACAGAGCUUCCCAUACUGGACAGCUGACCAGCAAAUCUUCCCCUGGAUGAGCACUUAGUGGAAUUAAUACCCCAAACACUGCAGUCUUUCACUAAACAAGGUCUCCUGAGGUUCUCUGGCCAUCAAAGCCUCCUCCAGGCUGCUGUACCAGCAUGCUGCAGCCCUGGUCUCAUGGUGGGUGAUGAGCAGGGGACAGGCCCCUCUGUCCCCCUCAGAAGAGGAGGGUGAUUAUUAAUUUUUUUAUUUAAAAAAGGGAGAGGGGGGAGUGGGGGAAUGAACUGAGCCCAUGGGCUCUGAUAGAGAGCUCAGGGCUCCUCUCGGACCAACUACUCCAUAGCACCAUCAUAUUUGCAAGUAGCAUCGACAUCUGUGAUCUUUGCUGGUGGCUGCUUCAAUUCUCUCUUUAGGUCCAUGUUUCUAGCAGCUGGUGCUUAAGGUGCCAAAGUAAUCUCUUCUGGCUGAUGAGAUGCAAAGUUGCAGGCAGGUAGAAUACAGACAAAACAGAUUAACUGCCUCAUUCCUUUACACCGAGCUCCUUUCUGGCGUGUAAUCGAAACCUAAAGCCUGCUUUUCUUUUAACUCGGUUCUAAACAGUAGCUGCUAUAAAGUAUUAGGUUGGAAUAUGAACUCUGUAUGAAAGAUGAAGGGGGAAUGAUGUAUUUUAAAAAGGAUCUUAGUAGGUCCUAACUUAAAAGCAUCAGUAUAAAUUCAUUGCAAGUAA